rnacentral:rRNA from 1 species
UGAGAGUUCAAGAGGGCGUGAAACCGCUUAGAAGCAAACAGAUGGACCUGAUGAAAAGUCGGCGGAAUUCAGUACUUUGAGUCACCUCCUGCCGGCGCUGGAUGUCUCACCAGUUGCCGAACAGUGAUGUGCCCAAGGGAUGCAUUUUUCGCCGAUGUGCACUGGAAGCUGUGUUUGUGCCGGAAAACCUCGGCGAAUGAGGGCCAAUUUUGUUGGUGUCCAUUUGGCUGGAAAAAGCCUGGUUGUGAGCACAGUUGAGAUGCACCCGCCUCUACUCUGGUAUGCCUGGCACUUUGCUCGGUUGGCUGAUUCUUGCUUGCAAGGUUUGGUGACUUUGUGGUGUUGGAAUGGGUGUGCGCAGAGUUGGUGCUAUUCUGGUGUUUCUGUCAGUGACCCAUCUGACCCGUCUUGAAACACGGACCAAGGAGUCUAACAUGUGCGCGAGUCAUUGGGUGGUGAAAUCCAUCGGCGCAAUGAAAGUGAAGUUCAGUUUGGCUGAAUGAAAUGGGACCCCGCUUUUAGCGGGUGCACCAUAGUCCCGUCUGAUCUGCUUGUCAGACAGGCGGAGAUGGAGCGUACAUGCUGGGACCCGAAAGAUGGUGAACUAUGCCUGAGCAGGAUGAAGUCAGAGGAAACUCUGAUGGAGGUCCAUAGCGAUUCUGACGUGCA